rnacentral:tRNA from 1 species
GAAGGUAUAGCUCAGUGGUAGAGUGCCUGGUUAGCAUGCAGAAGGUCCUGGGUUCAGUCCCCACUACCUCUA